UUCGCAAUGCCCGAAAGGGUGACGAAGCGACGCCGCGUGUGGGAAGAAGGCCUUCGGGUUGUAAACCACUGUCGGGAGUUAAGAAAUGUAAGGAUGUUAAUAGCGUCCUUACUUGACUAAGGCUCCGGAGGAAGCCACGGCUAACUCUGUGCCAGCAGCCGCGGUAAUACAGAGGCGGCAAGCGUUGUUCGGAAUUAUUGGGCGUAAAGAGCACGUAGGCGGCCUUGAAAGUCAGUUGUGAAAGCCUUCUGCUUAACGGAAGAACAGCAUCUGAUACUACAGGGCUUGAGUGCGGGAGGGGAGAGUGGAACUUCUGGUGGAGCGGUGAAAUGCGUAGAUAUCAGAAGGAACGCCGGCGGCGAAAGCGGCUCUCUGGCCCGUAACUGACGCUGAGUGUGCGAAAGCUAGGGGAUCAAACGGGAUUAGAUACCCCGGUAGUCCUAGCCGUAAACGAUGGGCACUAAGUAGAG
rnacentral:rRNA from 1 species